CCUACGGGACGCACCAGUGGGGAAUAUUGCACAAUGGGCGCAAGCCUGAUGCAGCCAUGCCGCGUGUAUGAAGAAGGCCUUCGGGUUGUAAAGUACUUUCAGCGAGGAGGAAGGCAUUAAGGUUAAUAACCUUGGUGAUUGACGUUACUCGCAGAAGAAGCACCGGCUAACUCCGUGCCAGCAGCCGCGGUAACACGGAGGGUGCAAGCGUUAAUCGGAAUUACUGGGCGUAAAGCGCACGCAGGCGGUCUGUCAAGUCGGAUGUGAAAUCCCCGGGCUCAACCUGGGAACUGCAUUCGAAACUGGCAGGCUAGAGUCUUGUAGAGGGGGGUAGAAUUCCAGGUGUAGCGGUGAAAUGCGUAGAGAUCUGGAGGAAUACCGGUGGCGAAGGCGGCCCCCUGGACAAAGACUGACGCUCAGGUGCGAAAGCGUGGG
rnacentral:rRNA from 1 species